rnacentral:rRNA from 1 species
GGACGAACGCUGGCGGCGUGCUUAACACAUGCAAGUCGAACGGAAAGGCCCUGCUUUUGUGGGGUGCUCGAGUGGCGAACGGGUGAGUAACACGUGAGUAACCUGCCCUUGACUUUGGGAUAACUUCAGGAAACUGGGGCUAAUACCGGAUAGGAGCUCCUGCUGCAUGGUGGGGUUUGGAAAGUUUCGGCGGUUGGGGAUGGACUCGCGGCUUAUCAGCUUGUUGGUGGGGUAGUGGCUUACCAAGGCUUUGACGGGUAGCCGGCCUGAGAGGGUGACCGGCCACAUUGGGACUGAGAUACGGCCCAGACGCCUACGGGAGGCAGCAGUGGGGAAUAUUGCACAAUGGGCGGAAGCCUGAUGCAGCAACGCCGCGUGCGGGAUGACGGCCUUCGGGUUGUAAACCGCUUUCGCCUGUGACGAAGCGUGAGUGACGGUAAUGGGUAAAGAAGCACCGGCUAACUACGUG